CUCCAGUCCAGGUGAAUAGGAAAGCUAUCUGUGAUUUGAGAAGAAUAAGAAAAAGAUGGUGACAAAGAAGAGAAGGAAGGCUGAGAAUAAUAAUGGACAUCAUAAAAUUUAUUAACAGGCAGGCUGUUCCUCUAGUCAAAAAAAAAAAAAAUCCUUGCCUGAAUAUUUUACCCCCACUUUCUACUGUCAUAUAAAUAUGACAAAUAGAUAUAUAUCAGAGAGAGAGACAGAAAGAGAUAGAAAGAUAGAGAUGGUUUACUUACAGCAAAUAGGUUGGAACAACAAGCAACUCUGACGUGAAGUUAUAAAACUUAAAAGAGCAAUGAGGGCAAUGAGACCACCAAAAAAAAAAAAAAAAAAAAAGGCCUCUCUGGAAGUGUGUCCAAGAUAGGUGUUGAAAAAGAACAGAUGAAAUUCCCUGAUGAGUCAAGAAAGAGCAAAAGCCCACCCCAGUCACGCCUGGAGUUUAGGUCAAAUUAAUCAUUCUAGCCCUAUCAUUUCCGAAGAAUAAAAUUGUCAAUUCCUCUAUCAGAAGAAUGCCUUGGUUUUAAAACAACAAUUCUAUGAAUGCCUUUUUGUGAAGGGAAAGGAAGGACUUUUCAAA
rnacentral:lncRNA from 10 species